rnacentral:rRNA from 1 species
CUGCGGAGGGAUCAUUACCGAGUUUACAACUCCCAAACCCCUGUGAACAUACCACUUGUUGCCUCGGCGGAUCAGCCCGCUCCCGGUAAAACGGGACGGCCCGCCAGAGGACCCCUAAACUCUGUUUCUAUAUGUAACUUCUGAGUAAAACCAUAAAUAAAUCAAAACUUUCAACAACGGAUCUCUUGGUUCUGGCAUCGAUGAAGAACGCAGCAAAAUGCGAUAAGUAAUGUGAAUUGCAGAAUUCAGUGAAUCAUCGAAUCUUUGAACGCACAUUGCGCCCGCCAGUAUUCUGGCGGGCAUGCCUGUUCGAGCGUCAUUUCAACCCUCAAGCACAGCUUGGUGUUGGGACUCGCGUUAAUUCGCGUUCCUCAAAUUGAUUGGCGGUCACGUCGAGCUUCCAUAGCGUAGUAGUAAAACCCUCGUUACUGGUAAUCGUCGCGGCCACGCCGUUAAACCCCAACUUCUGAAUGUUGACCUCGGAUCAGGUAGGAAUACCCGCUGAACUUAAGCAUAUCAAUA